CCUACGGGAGGCAGCAGUAGGGAAUAUUGGGCAAUGGGCGCAAGCCUGACCCAGCGACGCCGCGUGAGGGAUGAAGGUCUUCGGAUUGUAAACCUCUUUCAGUAGGGAAGAAGCGAAAGUGACGGUACCUAAAGAAGAAGCACCGGCUAACUAUGUGCCAGCAGCCGCGGUAAUACAUAGGGUGCAAGCGUUGUCCGGAAUUAUUGGGCGUAAAGAGCUCGUAGGUCGUUUGUCGCGUCGAUUGUGAAAAUCUGAGGCUCAACCUCAGACCUGCAGUCGAUACGGGCAAACUAGAGUGUGGUAGGGGAGACUGGAAUUCCUGGUGUAGCGGUGGAAUGCGCAGAUAUCAGGAGGAACACCAAUGGCGAAGGCAGGUCUCUGGGCCAUAACUGACACUGAGGAGCGAAAGUGCGGGGAGCGAACAGGAUUAGAUACCCUGGUAGUCCGCACCGUAAACGGUGGGCACUAGUUGUGGGAACCUUCCACGGUUUCCGCGACGCAGCAAACGCAUUAGGUGCCCCGCCUGGGGAGUACGAUCGCAAGAUUAAAACUCAAAGGAAUUGACGG
rnacentral:rRNA from 1 species